UUUUGGUCAAUCAAUUUGGGAUAUGUUUCUCUCUCAAUCAUCCAGCCGUCUCCCUCGCUUCCUUUUGCAUCCACCUUGCCGCCUCCCUCUUCGCUGUCUUUAGGCCGGACAAUCGCUUCGGUAACCGUCAUCUGCUCGUCGACGCACGCAGCCGCUGAUGACUUCACGCGAAGGGCUCGUCGACGCACACGGCUGCCGCCGCUGCUGGUCUGAGCGCGUGUCCCACCUCCGCGCUUGUUUCCCAUCUCGUCGACCAUGGUCAGGAUCUUGGCUAUCACGAUCCUGUUCGACGACGGAAGUUCAACGAAAGCGGAUGGAUGGCUGAUGCUGCUGCAGGACAAUGCUGUUGAUCUGCACUGCUAUAUUUUUUUUUUGUUUCCGUCAAAUUGAAUGAAAUUUUCAUGUAAAUUUGGGGAUAUUCAUGUGUCCAGUAAAUAUGAAUAUAUUUGUUCAUUUAUAAAUUGUGUUAUGUUCAUUUAUAAA